CAUCACCUAGGGAUCUUGUUAAAAUGCAUAUUCUGGGGUUGGGCCUGAGACUCUUUCAUUUCUAACAAGCUCCCAUGUGACUCUGAUCCUUCU
rnacentral:miRNA from 1 species